rnacentral:rRNA from 1 species
GAUGAACGCUGGCGGCGUGCCUAAUACAUGCAAGUCGAGCGAAGCGGGGAUGGGUGAGUAACACGUGGAUAACCUCCUAUAAGACUGGGAUAACUUCGGGAAACCGGAGCUAAACCGGAUACUAAUAGAUGGAUCCGCGCUGCAUUAGCUAGGUGGUAAGGUAACGGCUUACCAGGGCAACGAUGCAUAGCCGACCUGAGAGGGUGAUCGGCCACACUGGAACUGGUACACGGUCCAGACUCCUACGGGAGGCAGCAGUAGAGAAUCUGCCGCAAUGGGCGAAAGCCUGACGCAUCAACGCCGCGUGAGUGAUGAAGGUCUUCGGAUCGUAAAGCUCUGUUAUUAGGGAAGCGGUACCUAAUCAGAAAGCCACGGCUAACUACGUGCCAGCAGCCGCGGUAAUUC